GUCGGCCGGGCCCGCAGUCCAGAGUAGCCGGUUCUGCCGUCCUGGGGCGGGGGACGUUUUUUGGACAGUGGGGUAAACUGAGGCCCGAUAGGGGCGCUAGGCACUGCCCGGAGUCCGGCGCGCACGGAUUGAGGCGACCUGAUUCCGCCGCAUCCUGGCCCGCGCGGCGAGUGUGGUCUCUGGGCUCGGGACCCUGACCUCUGGCCCUGGGGGCCGUGCACCGGCAGCGCAGGAUUCAGCCUUCUUCCAACUGGCCCUGAGACCACUUUUGCGACUGACCCCCGGAGGUGGCCCCAAAUCCAAGCAUCCUUAUAAGAGAGAGACAGAGGGAGAUUUGAGAGACAGAAGAGGAGGAGGUGAUCUGAUUACAGAGGCGGAGACGGGUAAUGCCCAUGCGCCCGAGUUCCCCCGGCAGCCACUGGAAGCUGGAGAGUGCGGGAAAUCACCUCCCCAAUGAGGGGUUCCCAAGCCUCCAAAGGCAGAAGGAAGUGUGCAGGACCUGUUUCGAGGACCUCACCCAGCACAAAAAGAGAAGAACUGGAAACACCUUUCAUCUUGCAAGUCUACAGCCCUCACCCAGGGGAGCAGGAUGGAUUCUUAGAUCAGAGGAUGUGCCCUCUAGGGAAGGGAACCUGAGACAUAUGACAAGAGGAGCUAUCCUGGGACAGCCCUGACCUCACCCUUGCCUUGGGCUGGCCCACAAGUCUUGCACACACCACACCAGACCAGGAAGUGCACACACGGCCUGCUUUGAGGAAAGGCAGAUCCCGAGUCCGGGGAGGUCGUCUGUGCUGGGGAAACCGGGCUGAGGAUGCUGCUUGCCCAUCGCCACUGAAGGCACCCAGUUCACACAGCCCUAUCUGGUGUUGGGGCCCGACUCACUGACUAUGACUCAUUGACAGCCUGAACUGUGGGCCAACUGACAAGCAGGGCUCACUCCGCAAACACGCGCUGGGCUCUCCAGCUGUGCCGCCCCCCACAGGGCCUGCAGCCCGGGACAACACCGGCCAUGUGAAUGGUGGGUACCCAUUGGAUAUGGGCGGGUCAGCACAGGUAUGUGGGGUGCAGCCAUUGCUUGGGGACCCACGGUGAUGCUCUGUGCUCC
rnacentral:lncRNA from 10 species